AUGAAGAACGUAGUGAAAUGCGAUAAGUAGUGUGAAUUGCAGAAUUCAGUGAAUCAUCGAAUCUUUGAACGCACAUUGCGCCCCUUGGUAUCCCGAGGGGCAUGCCUGUUCGAGCGUCAUUUCACCACUCAAGCCUGGCUUGGUGUUGGGCGACGUCCCCUUUGGGGACGCGCCUCGAAACGCUCGGCGGCGUGGCACCGGCUUUAAGCGUAGCAGAAUCUUUCGCUUUGGAAGUCGGGGCCCCGUCUGCCGGAAGACCUACUCGCAAGGUUGACCUCGGAUCAGGCAGGGAUACCCGCUGAACUUAAGCAUAUCAAUAAGCGGAGGA
rnacentral:misc_RNA from 1 species